AGAUAUCGAGCGGGGCGUGCCGGAGGACUUCUCAGCUUUUAGGUCUCAGAGUCCUGCUACCUACCCCGACGUAAUACACCACCCUGACGUCACCUUUCCCUGUGUGACGUGACGCAGAGCAUGAUCCUUGGGCCUCUUUGUCCCACCUGACCAAGGUGUAUGGGCAGGAUGGCCUCGCCCCUUAGGAGCAAGUCCUCCGCCCCGCGAGUGGAAAGCACUCGCCACAAGGAGACAUCGACUGUCCGCGUGGAGACGUCGUCCCACCGCGAGGAAACGUCAUCCCACCGCGUGGAGACGUCCUCCCGGCAGGUUCGAACGUCUUCCCGGCAGGUGGAGACCUCCCAGCGCCACCGAGAGGGGCCCUCCCUCACCCCCUCCAUGAAGCGACUCCCUCAGUUCCUCGAGGUGUCCUCCCAGCACGUGGAAACCUCGCAGUGCACUGAAACGUCCUCCCGCCACGUCAGGGCGUCGUCAUCCCUGAGGGUGGAGACUACUGUGCACCGUGUUGAGAGCCCAGCCAGGCGAGACAAGCAAGCCGCUCGGCAGAGUGCCAGAAUGGCUCGAUGAAGUGCCAAAGGUCCUUAGCCAGGACUGAAGAGUUGCCAGCCAGCCAGCUUCCAGGAGAACCGAGCAUCUUUGGUUUCAUGGAAAGAACCCAUAAAUCAGUGUAAGAAACAGGCUGUGGUUUCUGGGGGCUGUUAACAUGUAUUGACAUUGCAGCACCUUAGACCAUCCUGCUGUUGACCCCAGUGUGCUAUUAACUUGAAGCCAGCACAGAAGGUUUCAGACUUGUAGUGCAGUAUAAACCUGGCUGAUGGACAAUGAGAUUCUUUGAGUCUCUACACCAGUAGUAUUUGGAAGACUGGCUGAAUGUGACUCUGGGAAAGCCAGGCGCCUGCUUCUGGAUCGUUGAUGCUUCAGGAAGGACGUGGGAAGGAUCCUGGUAGAUUCCCUGUGGUCCUCGUCUUAUUUUUAUCUAGGAUUCUUCCUACAUAUUUCACUUAUUCAUGUUCAGAGAGAGAGAGAGAGAGAGAGAGAGAGAGAGAGAGAGAGAGAAUGAAUGUAAUGAAACACCUUUGCCAUAAAUCUAUAUUAUACAUUCCACAGCUUCAAAAUGACAGUGUACAUCAAUGAAGGUAAUUGUUGAUGUACCCAUUGUACUUUGUAAAUGUGUGUGUUACUGUUAGCCAUGCUGUGUGUCUUCCUCAUCGUUCUCUGUAGGAAAUAGAGCUGCUGUACCUGGCAUGUGUUACACAGUGUUAAAGACAGCAUGUGCAACAAUAAUAAAUGAAGAGUAAUAUUCUCCAUUUGCAGUCGAGAAAGCCUUUAAUGGCACAGUCUAAUAAUUGGAUUUAUUGUGCUGGGUAAUAGUUGUGUCUUGCCUUCAGCUGUGUCAGCCAGGUUAGUUUAAAAAAAAAAACUAAAUAAAUGUAAGUUCUUGU
ensembl:processed_transcript 4930563E22Rik RIKEN cDNA 4930563E22 gene